UACGUAGGUGGCGAGCGUUAUCCGGAAUUAUUGGGCGUAAAGAGCGCGCAGGUGGUUGAUUAAGUCUGAUGUGAAAGCCCACGGCUUAACCGUGGAGGGUCAUUGGAAACUGGUCGACUUGAGUGCAGAAGAGGGAAGUGGAAUUCCAUGUGUAGCGGUGAAAUGCGUAGAGAUAUGGAGGAACACCAGUGGCGAAGGCGGCUUCCUGGUCUGUAACUGACACUGGAGGCGCGAAAGCGUGGGGAGCAAACAGG
rnacentral:rRNA from 1 species